GGUGUACCCAAUUACCCAAUAACCAAAACAAACGGAAAGGGAAUCGAUGGCAGCUAAUAGGCCGGCGACGACGACCGCCGAGCACCGCCUGAACAGGGAGAGGCACCAUCUUCGACGAGGGUUUGACGCUUGGAGCCAAGCAGGCCUUUCCCUACCUCAGCACAUUCAUCUCCUCCCUGAACCAGAGGAGGGAGACGGGAGGCAAUGGCAGCUUGGGUAUACACCCGGGUCUACCAGGAGGAAGACAUGGGAGGGAGCUACCUUCUAUUUCCUGGAGUGUGAUGCAGAAACAGAGGUUCUCCAUCGACACACUUCCCCCCGAGGUGAAGGCCCCGUUCCUCUCUGACCCUAUCAUCCCUCUCCUCACUAAAACCACCAAAGAGUUCCACUCCUCAUGAUGAGCUGCCCCCUCUGUCCAAGUGCUCCUGGUGGAUUCUGGCUGCCACCAAGAUGCAGCUAACAGCAUAUCCAAGCCCCCUAUCAUCUCCUUCACGGACUUCUACAGCAUCACCUUGGACCACAUUGAUAUCAUGGAGCAGUAUCGCACCUGGGCGAGCCAUGGGAACUCCAACAGUGAGUCACCAGUCCACAGGAGCAACACCCAUAUCCCGUAUUCAGAGCUAGGAGUUUUCCUGACCAGGACAUUUUCUGAGCCUUUCUUAUAGGCCAUACAUUCUUCUUGUUUAAAUGUCUUCAAUCCUGAACAGAGUUGGGAAGCCCUGCUGGGAAGAAUGUAAACCACAGCAAGUUGUUUUCCCGUUUCUGUAUUAAUCAGUAUCAGUAAAUGAUUGACAGCACAUGGUACAGAAAGCAGAACACACUGCACAUUCAGAAAGUAUUCAGAGCCCUUGACUUUUUCCACAUUUUGUUACAGCCUUGUUCUUAAAUGGAUUUUACACAAUUUCCUUCAUCAAUCUGCUACACACAA